GCCCAGGACCCGGACAUCAGGACGUGAGCUGAAGGCAGACGCGUCACCGACGAAGCCACCCAGGCGCCCCUCAAAUUCUUGAGACCACAUUCCAGACUUUGCUCUGAAAAACACUGAUAAAAAAGGGACCUGCCCUCACCCCGUCCUCACCCUGACCUGGUCCCUGGGGCCAGUGCUUGCCUUCUCACCCCUGGGGAAGGGGAGAGACUCAGCCCCCCAGGUGAAUGGCACGGUGGGAAUGGGGGUGUCACGUUACCAGGAAGGAAUGAGAACCCAGUGGGCUGAAGGGAGCCGGGUCCCGGGCACCCUAUGCUGCGCACCGGGACGCGGCAGGGCCUGCCUGCGGGGGCAGGAGCGCGAGGGCCACCUGCAGCCCGUCCUCAGCAAACCCGCGGCCCGCAAAGCGCGGAGAGGCGAUGCCCCGGUUUUCUUCGGAGGAGCACCCUGAGAAUGGGCCGCGGAGGGCGGAGUUGAAGGCCUGCGGCGGACGCCAGGCUCCAGUGAAGUCCAGCUCCCGCCCCAGAGCCGUCCCUGCCCUCGGACAGACAGGCUGGGAGAGGGGAGCACAAGAGUGGGGGCUGGCGGGCGGGACACCCUGCCUCGGGGGCCCUCACCCACGGUCGCCCUUCCCCUCCCCCAAGGGGAGCCCCGGGCUGGACCAUUUUUCUCAGACCCUUCCCCCGAGUCAGCUCCGCACCCAGCCAGAGCCAAACCUUGACUGAGGUCCCGCAAAGACCCCCCAGAAUACAGGGGGUGUGAAAUCUAAACGGCAGUUAGCAUCACGGGCUCCUCCUCCCAGGGCCUCCAGGGGUGGAAUGUUUCCUUCCGAAGGUGACUCAGGCCAAGACCCCAUCCCUUAACUCAAAGGAGUUGUUUCUUCUUCUCCUAAUUGCACUACUCCCAUCCCUCGGGCUUGGGCUGUCCGUCCGCCCGCAGCCC